UCUGGAGAGUUUUACAGAAGCUUCAACUGUCUAAGAGUUGUGCUAAGAGCUUUCUUUUCUACUGUUACAGGUAAGAUUCAUCUGUAGGAAAAGGUUACUGAUGUGUAGCCUUUUUUUCUUCGUUGGACCAUCUGCCACCGGUGGAAAGUGAACCACAAUGAUCUACAGAGUGUGGUUGAUCCUGGAUGAAAAUUCCAGAUGGUCAUUCCAAACUCAGUACUGUUGGUUAGUAUGACAGAGUUAAUGGUAAGUGGGCACUGGUGUUAGUCUAGGAAGUUGUUUUAUUUAAUUUAUUUUGUAAAAUUUGUUUAAUCUGAUUUUAGUUAAAAAAAAAAAUAUAUAUCUUACAGAUGGAUUUUAAACCCACCACGCACUCACCAAUAGCAUAAAAUAUAUAUAAGGAAAUCACUUAAUUAAGACAACAAAUAUAGCACUAUUACUUUUAAACAACCAAGCUAAAUUAAGCAGACAUUUGGGAGUGUUUUACUGUGGAGGCAUUCAUCCUGGAUUUGCAACACAGUUUUUAAAUAUUCAGUGAUUUAUGGAUUUUCGAAGGUUGUAGCCAAUCAGAG